rnacentral:rRNA from 1 species
GACGUAGGGCGCGAGCGUUGUCCGGAUUUAUUGGGCGUAAAGAGCUCGUAGGCGGCUUGUCGCGUCGACUGUGAAAACCCGCGGCUCAACUGCGGGCUUGCAGUCGAUACGGGCAGGCGUAGGAGUUCGGUAGGGGAGACUGGAAUUCCCGGUGUAGCGGUGAAAUGCGCAGAUAUCGGGAAGAACACCCGUGGCGAAGGCGGUUCUCUGGGACGGUACUGACGCUGAGACGCGAAAGCGUGGGGAGCGAACAGG